UCAAAAAGUGGAUAUUUGCCCACCCAAAAUAGAUGCGCUGCUUCGUCGCUUCUGGUGCCGAUUGAGGGCCUUGGAAUUAUAUAAAUCGGGCAUCAAUCUGUUCAUUUUUCAUUUAUCUCUUCAUUUAUGCAAAUUUCACCUACCUGCCAACCUUUAUUUUUCCAUAUUUUAACAGUUUUCACAGAUACCCAUCGAUUUCUGCAUUUUGACUUUCAUUUUCAAAGAUUAUCAC
rnacentral:lncRNA from 1 species